AAUGGAGAGCAAAUGCUUAAAACAGGGAGGACCAGGUCUCUGGACAAGGCCACAGAGGAGCCCGAGCUGCUGUGGGGGUGGCCAACAACUGUGCUUGGCAGGAAGCAGGUGCUUGGGAAGAAGUUGGGGCAGCAGAGAAAUGGGACGCAGUCGGCACCACUGUGGAACAUUUAGUUUGCGGGGACUCUGAAGAAAGGAAGCACCAAGGGAAAGUCAGAGCUGGCACCACUCGCUUCCUCCGAUCUGCGCCUCUGGAUGGUAGAACGUGGGGAAGACGCUGGAGCUUUGCUUCCAUUCCACGCUGACCACUGGCUAUCUUUGAAGAUCUCUGGAGCAGCGGUACUGAGAGCAAAGCUAAUCUGUGCCCCAAGCCCCUCAGUGCCUUGCCACCUGACAAGGUGAAGGAGGCUGUGGGAGCUGGGAGAAAGGGCUGCAUGGAGGGGUGGGCACCCUGGCAACAACUAUCUGGAUGGGAAAUGUGCACAUCCCCACUGACACUGUAAACACGCCAUAGAUGCUGUGGUGCGUGCCUGUAGUCCUGUUAUUGUGGGAAGCUGAGGCAGGAGGAUCGCAAGGUUGAGACCAGCCUGAGCAACAUAGUGACUUAGCAAGACCUUGUAUCAAAAUAAAACAUAAUAAAGGGCUGCAGAUUUAGCUCAGUGCAAAGGCCUUAGGUUCAAUUCCCAACACUGCUCUUCCUUUCCUCAAAAAUACCAGAG
rnacentral:lncRNA from 1 species